rnacentral:rRNA from 1 species
GUCCACGCCCUAAACGAUGCAUAUUUGGUGUGGGCAGUUCAUUCUGUCCGUGCCGGAGCUAACGCGUUAAAUAUGCCGCCUGGGGAGUACAGUCGCAAGGCUGAAACUCAAAGGAAUUGACGGGGGCCCCGCACAAGCGGUGGAGCAUGUGGUUCAAUUCGACGCAACGCGAAGAACCUUACCUGGGCUCGAACGGCUUCUCAACGCCGGUAGAAAUACUGGUACCCCGCAAGGGGGUGGAGUCGAGGUGCUGCAUGGCUGUCGU